GAUGAACGCUGGCGGCGUGCCUAAUACAUGCAAGUCGAGCGAACAGACGAGGAGCUUGCUCCUCUGACGUUAGCGGCGGACGGGUGAGUAACACGUGGAUAACCUACCUAUAAGACUGGGAUAACUUCGGGAAACCGGAGCUAAUACCGGAUAAUAUAUUGAACCGCAUGGUUCAAUAGUGAAAGACGGUUUUGCUGUCACUUAUAGAUGGAUCCGCGCCGCAUUAGCUAGUUGGUAAGGUAACGGCUUACCAAGGCGACGAUGCGUAGCCGACCUGAGAGGGUGAUCGGCCACACUGGAACUGAGACACGGUCCAGACUCCUACGGGAGGCAGCAGUAGGGAAUCUUCCGCAAUGGGCGAAAGCCUGACGGAGCAACGCCGCGUGAGUGAUGAAGGUCUUCGGAUCGUAAAACUCUGUUAUUAGGGAAGAACAAAUGUGUAAGUAACUAUGCACGUCUUGACGGUACCUCAUCAGAAAGCCACGGCUAACUACGUG
rnacentral:rRNA from 1 species